UUUUUUUUUUUUUUUAGUAAUAUAGGUUGUAUUAUAAGACUUAUGAAAAUACGUUGUUACACAAAAGUGAUAAAGUCUGUAAAAUUCUUUUCCAAUUCCAAAACCAAGUUUAAAGCUUAAAAUAUUAACUGGCAGCUGUAAUUAGAUGAUAAAGGCCAGCUUAAAUGAUAAAAGCAUUUAUUUACCCUGAGAUUUGCCUUUAUAAUUUCUAUUACUUGUUUAUUAUACACUUUUUCAGUAAACUUUUAUUAUUCACCUUUUAUAUAUGAGGGCUUUGCCAGGUACUGGGCGUUCAGACAUUACGCAAUUACUGUCAUUUAAGAAGCUAAUGGAGAACACAGACCUGUUAAAAAAAAAAUGCAAUGAAGAGUUCCCGUUGUGGCUCAGAGGGUUAAGAACCUGACUAGUAUCCAUGAGGAUGUGGGUUAGAUCCCUGGCCUUGCUCAGUGGGUUAAGGGUCCAGUGUUGCCUUGAGCUGCAGUGUAGGUUGUAGAUGUGGCUUGGAUCUGAUGUUGCUCCAAGUUGCAGUUGGAGCAGCUUCUAUCUGGAGCUGCUCCAACUGCAGCUCCAAUUGGACACCUAGCCUGGGAACUUCCAUAUGCUGCAGGUGUGGCCCUAAAAAGAAAAAAAAUGCAAUGAGAGUAUUAAAAAAAAAAAAAAAAAAAAAAAGGGAGUUCCUGUGGUGGCGCAGUAGUUAACGAAUCUGACUAGUAUCCAUGAAGACGUGGGUUCGAUCCCUGGCCUCCAUCAGUGGGUUAAGGAUCUGGCGUUGCCGUGAGCUGUGGUGUAGGUCACAGACGCGGCUCAGAUCUGGCAUUGCUGUGGCUCUGGCGUAGGCUGGUGGCUACAGUUCCGAUUAGACCCCUAGCCUGGGAACCUACAUAUGCCACAAGAGUGGCCCUAGAAAAAGGCAAAAAGAGAAUAAAUAAAUAAAUAAAAAUAAAAAUAAAAAAAAAGAACGAUUAACCAUCAGAGGCCUUUGACUGCCUUUGGGACAGGAGAUGGAAAACCUUAAUUUAUUUAAUGACGGAAUCCAUCAAUCCAGCAGAAAGUGUAUGGCACCCUCAGAACAGAAGAAUUUGAGACCAGUUGAAUGUAGGACCCUCACAAAGUGUGGCCAGGGAAUAAAGAAACUACAAGGCCUGGGGGGUGUGUACCACCCUUAAGCUCAACCGGAGGAGGAAGAAGAAACUGUCACAUCUCUUUCCCCUCUGAACCUCUUGCCGCAGCUCCCCAUUGGCUGAAUAUAACCAGAGGUAAUAGGGCCUGACUGCUGACAGAUGUCGUGCAUGUAGGUGACCCUUUUGGGAAAGAAGAUAGGUGGGGAAGGGUGAAGAUGGGGCAAACGCAAUACCUGGCGGUAUGAGUUUAGCUGGUCUGAGACAAAUAAGAAGCUCCCUGAGAAACUGCAGUGGGAGGGGAAGGUUGUGAGUGGGCCAGUCCGUAUCAGAAGAACAAAAGAGGAGCUUUUGUUCUGGGUUUAAUGUGGCUGGAAUUUAGGGCCUGCAUUGUGUCUUGGGGUGGGUUUGCGUCAUUAGGAAAGACAAUCCCUCUUUUCCGUUUAGGGUGAAGUGAGAUGUCGAAACAAAAUGGUCAAGUUCUCUGAGUGAUUCUGAAGUUUGCAUUGGCCGUGUGCCGCUGCCCUGUAGACUAUGUAUCCGUGUUUCACUUCUCUUUCUCUGUCUUUCUCUUUUGAGAAACUCUGGGGAAAACGUGUCUUGAACUCUGCCCCUGCUUGGAAUUCAACAGUGUGUAUGUGUGUGCGCACGCGGGCGUGCAAGCAUGUGUGCAUGUGCAUGCAGCCUGAAGAAGUCUGUACACUCUUCUUCAAAAAUAGGCUUUUCAAAUAUCUAAAAUAUGGUAUAUAGGAUUAUGAAGGAAACAAUUAUAUUAAAAUGCUGUUAUUAUUAUAUCGAAAAAGUUGUAAAAUAAGAGCUACUUUGUAUAUUAAAGAGGACAUUCCUCUAGCACAUCUGUUAAAUAUUGUAAUUUCACUGUAAUGAUGCAAUAGUAAGCACAGAAAGUACGUCAGGGUAGCAGUGGUCCUGCUCCAUGACAACAUCUGUGAUUCUGCUAGUGACAGAGGCAAUUCAAGGAAGUGUUACAUUCACCUAGAAGUUAACACAAAUUGAGAUGGGAUUUUUUUCCCAUCCAAGUUUUGGACUUACUGGUGGUCUGUGGACCUCACAUUAAAAAAAUACCUGUUUUAUAAAUUACUUACAAUAUUUUUGAACAAAUGAAGUGAGUUUUACUCUCAUUAAAUUCACCAAACAUAGGGUAAAUGUGUGUAUUAUGCCAAAUAUUGUACUAAAGAGGUACAUAGUGAGGGAAAGCGUCAAAAAAUUUUUUUUAUUGGAGUUUAAUUUAUAAUGUCGUGUUAGUUUCUGGUGUAUAGCAAGGCGAAUCAAUUAUAUAUAUACAGGAGUUCCCGUCGUGGCGCAGUAGUUAACAAAUCCGACUAGGAACCAUGAGGUUGUGGGUUCGGUCCCUGCCUUUGCUCAGUGGGUUAACGAUCCGGCGUUGCCGUGAGCUGUGGUGUAGGUCGCAGACGCGGCUCGGAUCCCGCGUUGCUGUGGCUCUGGCGUAGGCCGGUGGCUACAGCUCCGAUUCGACCCCUAGCCUGGGAACCUCCAUAUGCCGCGGGAGCGGCCCAAAGAAAUAGCAAAAAGACAAAAAAAAAAAAAAA
rnacentral:lncRNA from 1 species